rnacentral:rRNA from 1 species
GACGAACGCUGGCGGCGUGCUUAACACAUGCAAGUCGAACGGAAAGGCCCUGCUUUUGUGGGGUGCUCGAGUGGCGAACGGGUGAGUAACACGUGAGUAACCUGCCCUUGACUUUGGGAUAACUUCAGGAAACUGGGGCUAAUACCGGAUAGGAGCUCCUGCUGCAUGGUGGGGGUUGGAAAGUUUCGGCGGUUGGGGAUGGACUCGCGGCUUAUCAGCUUGUUGGUGGGGUAGUGGCUUACCAAGGCUUUGACGGGUAGCCGGCCUGAGAGGGUGACCGGCCACAAUGGGACUGAGGAUACGCCCAGGCUCCUACGGGGGGCAGCGGUGGGGAAAUUUGCACAAUGGGGGGAAGCCUGAAGGAGGAACGCCGCGGGCGGGAUGACGGCCUUCGGGGUGUAAACCGCUUUCGCCUGUGACGAAGCGUGAGUGACGGUAAUGGGUAAAGAAGCACCGGCUAACUACGUG